AUUGAACGCUGGCGGCAGGCCUAACACAUGCAAGUCGAGCGAGCGGCGGACGGGUGAGUAAUGUAUGGGGACUGCCCGAUAGAGGGGGAUAACUACUGGCAACGGUAGCUAAUACCGCAUACUAUCGGAUAACCCAUAUGGGAUGAGCUAGUAGGUGAGGUAAUGGCUCACCUAGGUGACGCUCCCUAGCUGGUCUGAGAGGAUGAUCAGCCAGACUGGGACGGAGACACGGCCCAGACUCCUACGGAGGCAGCAGUGGGGAAUAUUGGACAAUGGGCGCAAGCCGGAUGCAGCCAUGCCGCGUGUAUGAAGAAGGCCCUAGGGUUGUAAAGUACUGUCAGGCGGGAGGCGUUACCGACAGAAGAAGCACCGGCUAACUCCGUGCCAGCCGCCGCGGUAAUUC
rnacentral:rRNA from 1 species